rnacentral:snoRNA from 12 species
CCGCAAAUGAUGAUUAAGAAUUCGCAUAGUUCAUCUGACUAUCAAUGAAGAAUUAAUCUUAGCAUGUCUUUCGCUCCUAUCUGAUUUUUAUC